rnacentral:rRNA from 1 species
UACGUAGGGUGCAAGCGUUGUCCGGAAUUAUUGGGCGUAAAAAGCUCGUAGGCGGUUUUGUCGCGUCGGCUGUGAAAACUCGGGGCUCAACCCCGAGCCUGCAGUCGAUACGGGCAGACUAGAGUGCUGUAGGGGAGACUGGAAUUCCUGGUGUAGCGGUGAAAUGCGCAGAUAUCAGGAGGAACACCGAUGGCGAAGGCAGGUCUCUGGGCCACUACUGACGCUGAGAAGCGAAAGCAUGGGGAGCGAACAGG